rfam:Sarcophilus harrisii ctg7180002452388, whole genome shotgun sequence.
UGCAAUUAAAUAAAUUUGCAAUAUGUUUUGGUAGCACAUAUACUAAGAGAAAAUAAGUAUUGCUUCUGUGCAAGGAUGAUAUGAAGAUUCAUGAAAUAUUCAGUAUUUUU